rnacentral:rRNA from 1 species
AUAGAGCUGUUGGGACGGUCCAACAACGUCUCCAGGCAGUCCAUCUUCGGCAAGAGCAGAGCCGGGCUGCUGAAGAAGGCGCAGGAGCUCGCCAUGCUCUGCGAGGCGGACCUUGGCGUCCUCAUCUUCGGCAGCGCCGACAAGCAGAUGGACUACUGCAGCCCCUCCACCAUGUCCAAUAGUUUUCCUUCAUCAACGUGCGUACAUCUCGAUUCAUCCCGGUUGCAAACUUAUUUUGGAUAUUCUGUAAUGCCCUGUCUAGCUAGGUGCCCCUCUGCGGAUCUGACGUGCAUACUUUUAGAUUGUUCUAUUUUUAGUACAAGAGUACAUGUGUGUGGUGAACUGAUAGAUUCAUUCCGGAAGAUGAACUUAUUAAAGUCACUUGAAAUCCUUACAAUCAUCUAA